AUUCCAGCUCCAAUAGCGUAUAUUAAAGUUGUUGCAGUUAAAAAGCUCGUAGUUGGAUUUCUGUUUCUGGGAUCUGGUCCGCCUCACGGUGAGCACUGGAUAACUGGGGACAUCCUCUCGAAGGCGGCGGGUGCACUUGAUUGUGUGUUUGUUGAAUUCGGGACCUUUACUUUGAAAAAAUUAGAGUGUUCAAAGCAGGCGUCGGCUUGAAUACAUUAGCAUGGAAUAAUGGAAUAGGACUUUGGUUCUAUUUUGUUGGUCUCUAGGACCGAAGUAGUGAUUAAUAGGGACAGUUGGGGGCAUUAGUAUUUAAUUGUCAGAGGUGAAAUUCUUGGAUUUAUGAAAGACUAACUACCGCGAAAGCAUUUGCCAAGGAUGUUUUCAUUA
rnacentral:rRNA from 1 species